AUUUGGGUACCAUAGGGGUUAGGCUGCACAUUCUAAGUUGUACUUAGGGAACAAUAUGUGUUAGGUUGGGUAUCAUAGGUGGCACUUUGCAUACUAUAGGUGUUAGGCUGGGUAUCAUCGGUGGCACUUUGCAUACUAUAGGUGUUAGUUCGGGUAUCAUGCGUCGCACUUUGGGAAGCACAGGUGUUAGGUUGGGUAUCAUACGUGGCAUUUAGGAAACCAUAGGUGUUAGUUUGGGUAUCAUAGGUGGCACUUUGCGUACUAUAGGUGUUAGGAUGGGUAUCAUAGGUGGCACUUUGCAUACUAUAGGUGUUAGGAUGGGUAUCAUAGGUGGCAGUUACGGACCAUAGGUGUUAGGUUGGGUAUCAUAGGUGGCACUUUGGGUACCAUAGGUGUUAGGCUAGGUAUCAUAAGUGGUACUUUGCAUACUAUAGGUAUUAGGUUGGGUAUCAUAGAUGGCACUUAGGGAACCACAGGUGUUAGGUGGGUAUCAUGGGUGUCACUUUACAUACUAUAGGUCUUAGUUUGGGUAUGCUAAGUGGCACUUUGGGAAGUGUGGGUGUUAGAUUGGGUGGCAUAGGUGGCACUUUGGGUAUGCUAA